rnacentral:rRNA from 1 species
AUGCAGGGCACCACCGUCCAUGCGGUCGACCCGCCUACCUGCCCUCCGGCCAAGGCGUCAGCGGUGGCAGUGGAAACCUCGGACUGCGGCGGGCCUCGGUGCCAGCCACCGGCUCCGCACGUUCCGGUCCCGGUGUUCCCGUAUGACGUCGACCCGAUGCAGUUCGCGCUGAACCUGGAGUACACCGAGGCUGAGUUCUUCCUCCAUGGAGCGUUCGGUGUAGGGCUCGACCAGAUCGCGCCCAACCUGACGUUGGGAGGGCCGCCUCCGAUGGGCGCCAUGAAAGCCAACCUCGACGAGGUGACAUGGCGCAUCGUCGCGGAGUUUGGCCUUCAAGAAGUCGGCCACAUCAGGGCUAUCCAGAACACAGUUGGUGGGUUCCCUAGGCCAAAGAUAGACCUGAGCGCCAGCAACUUUGCAAGGGUGAUGGACCAAGCAUUUGGUUACCAUUUGGACCCUCCUUUCGACCCCUACAUCGACAGCCCCAACUUCCUGCUGGCGUGCUACGUGAUCCCCUACCUGGGCAUCAACGGCUACACCGGCACCAACCCCAUCAUCGACGGCUACGAGACUAAACACCUUCUUGCAGGGUUGCUAGGCGUGGAGGCGGGGCAGGACGCGGUCUUCCGCGCGCUGCUCUUCGAGCGCAAGAGCGAGACGGUGCCGCCCUACAAGGGGAUCACGGUGGCAGAGUUCACCGACCGCAUCUCCGCGGCGAGAAACCAGCUGGGGAAAUGCGGGGUGAAGGACGAGGGGCUCACCGUGCCGCCCGAGCUUGGCGCAGAGGGCAGGAUCUGCACCAACGUGCUCUCCGCCGACAGGGACUCGCUCUCCUACGCCCGCACGCCGGAGGAGCUGCUCAGCAUCCUGUACCUCACCGGCGACGAGCACGUGCCCGGUGGCUUCUUCCCGGAGGGCGCGAACGGGAAGAUAGCACGGGAGUUUCUUCGCAAGCCGUUUGCAGCUGGGGAUAACAAGGCGCCAGCAAAUUAA